GACCUCUCCGGUAGCAUAGUGGUUAAAGCGUCCACCUCUGAUGCAGGAGGUCGCAGGUUCGAAUCCCGGCCGAGUCA